rnacentral:rRNA from 1 species
GAUGAACGCUGGCGGCGUGCCUAAUACAUGCCAGUCGAGCGAACGGACGAGAAGCUUGCUUCUCUGAUGUUAGCGGCGGACGGGUGAGUAACAUGUGGAUAACCUACCUAUAAGACUGGGAUAACUUCGGGAAACCGGAGCUAAUACCGGAUAAUAUUUUGAACCGCAUGGUUCAAAAGUGGAAGACGGUCUUGCUGUCACUUAUAGAUGGAUCCGCGCUGCAUUAGCUAGUUGGUAAGGUAACGGCUUACCAAGGCAACGAUGCAUAGCCGACCUGAGAGGGUGAUCGGCCACACUGGAACUGAGACACGGUCCAGACUCCUACGGGAGGCAGCAGUAGGGAAUCUUCCGCAAUGGGCGAAAGCCUGACGGAGCAACGCCGCGUGAGUGAUGAAGGUCUUCGGAUCGUAAAACUCUGUUAUUAGGGAAGAACAUAUGUGUAAGUAACUGUGCACAUCUUGACGGUACCUAAUCAGAAAGCCACGGCUAACUACGUG